rnacentral:sRNA from 1 species
AACCACUGCACCGUGGUUACCUUGUAAAGUUUACUUCAUAAGAAAACUUACAGGGGAAGGGUGAGAACCUUUGAUAAGGUUCGAGUCGAGCGAUAGCGAGACAACGUUGCCGCAGGCAACGGCCCGAAGGGUGAGGAGCGAAGCGACGAAUAAUCCUUCCCCCACCACCA